rnacentral:pre_miRNA from 1 species
AGGGAGCUCUGGAUCUUGGGCUGUGUCCCCUGGCACCCUGGGCUCUGGGACCUGCGCCGCUGGAAUCGCGCUCCGGGGGCCACGCAGCCCCCA